rnacentral:rRNA from 1 species
ACGCUCGACACCUACCGGAGGCAGCAGUGGGGAAUAUUGGGCAAUGGGCGCAAGCCUGACCCAGCAACGCCGCGUGAAGGAAGAAGGCCCUCGGGUUGUAAACUUCUUUUAACAGGGACGAAGCAAGUGACGGUACCUGUUGAAUAAGCCACGGCUAACUACGUGCCAACAGCCGCGGUAAUCUGAGCGGGCUGGCAAGGC